AGAUAGCUAAAGUAGUACAGUGCUUGCCUUGCAAGCAGGAAGCCCUGAAUUCAAAUCUCAGUACAACUA
rnacentral:tRNA from 1 species